rnacentral:rRNA from 2 species
GAACGCUGGCGGCGUGCUUAACACAUGCAAGUCGAACGAUGAACCACUUCGGUGGGGAUUAGUGGCGAACGGGUGAGUAACACGUGGGCAAUCUGCCCUGCACUCUGGGACAAGCCCUGGAAACGGGGUCUAAUACCGGAUACGACCUGCCGAGGCAUCUCGGUGGGUGGAAAGCUCCGGCGGUGCAGGAUGAGCCCGCGGCCUAUCAGCUUGUUGGUGAGGUAGUGGCUCACCAAGGCGACGACGGGUAGCCGGCCUGAGAGGGCGACCGGCCACACUGGGACUGAGACACGGCCCAGACUCCUACGGGAGGCAGCAGUGGGGAAUAUUGCACAAUGGGCGAAAGCCUGAUGCAGCGACGCCGCGUGAGGGAUGACGGCCUUCGGGUUGUAAACCUCUUUCAGCAGGGAAGAAGCGAGAGUGACGGUACCUGCAGAAGAAGCGCCGGCUAACUACGUGCCAGCAGCCGCGGUAAUACGUAGGGCGCAAGCGUUGUCCGGAAUUAUUGGGCGUAAAGAGCUCGUAGGCGG